UCAAGUGAAGAAGCGCAUACGGUGGAUGCCUUGGCAGUCAGAGGCGAUGAAAGACGUGGUAGCCUGCGAAAAGCUUCGGGGAGUCGGCAAACAGACUUUGAUCCGGAGAUCUCUGAAUGGGGGAACCCACCUAGGAUAACCUAGGUAUCUUGUACUGAAUCCAUAGGUGCAAGAGGCGAACCAGGGGAACUGAAACAUCUAAGUACCCUGAGGAAAAGAAAUCAACCGAGAUUCCCUUAGUAGUGGCGAGCGAACGGGGAUUAGCCCUUAAGCUUCAUUGAUUUUAGCGGAACGCUCUGGAAAGUGCGGCCAUAGUGGGUGAUAGCCCCGUACGCGAAAGGAUCUUUGAAGUGAAAUCGAGUAGGACGGAGCACGAGAAACUUUGUCUGAACAUGGGGGGACCAUCCUCCAAGGCUAAAUACUACUGACUGACCGAUAGUGAACCAGUACCGUGAGGGAAAGGCGAAAAGAACCCCGGAGAGGGGAGUGAAAUAGAACCUGAAACCGUAUGCGUACAAGCAGUGGGAGCCUACUUGUUAGGUGACUGCGUACCUUUUGUAUAAUGGGUCAGCGACUUAUAUUCAGUGGCAAGCUUAACCGUAUAGGGUAGGCGUAGCGAAAGCGAGUCUUAAUAGGGCGUUUAGUCGCUGGGUAUAGACCCGAAACCGGGCGAUCUAUCCAUGAGCAGGUUGAAGGUUAGGUAACACUGACUGGAGGACCGAACCCACUCCCGUUGAAAAGGUAGGGGAUGACUUGUGGAUCGGAGUGAAAGGCUAAUCAAGCUCGGAGAUAGCUGGUUCUCCUCGAAAGCUAUUUAGGUAGCGCCUCAUGUAUCACUCUGGGGGGUAGAGCACUGUUUCGGCUAGGGGGUCAUCCCGACUUACCAAACCGAUGCAAACUCCGAAUACCCAGAAGUGCCGAGCAUGGGAGACACACGGCGGGUGCUAACGUCCGUCGUGAAAAGGGAAACAACCCAGACCGCCAGCUAAGGUCCCAAAGUUGUGGUUAAGUGGUAAACGAUGUGGGAAGGCUUAGACAGCUAGGAGGUUGGCUUAGAAGCAGCCAUCCUUUAAAGAAAGCGUAAUAGCUCACUAGUCGAGUCGGCCUGCGCGGAAGAUGUAACGGGGCUCAAACCACACACCGAAGCUGCGGGUGUCACGUAAGUGACGCGGUAGAGGAGCGUUCUGUAAGCCUGUGAAGGUGAGUUGAGAAGCUUGCUGGAGGUAUCAGAAGUGCGAAUGCUGACAUGAGUAACGACAAUGGGUGUGAAAAACACCCACGCCGAAAGACCAAGGGUUCCUGCGCAACGUUAAUCGACGCAGGGUUAGUCGGUUCCUAAGGCGAGGCUGAAAAGCGUAGUCGAUGGGAAACAGGUUAAUAUUCCUGUACUUCUGGUUACUGCGAUGGAGGGACGGAGAAGGCUAGGCCAGCUUGGCGUUGGUUGUCCAAGUUUAAGGUGGUAGGCUGAAAUCUUAGGUAAAUCCGGGGUUUCAAGGCCGAGAGCUGAUGACGAGUCGUCUUUUAGAUGACGAAGUGGUUGAUGCCAUGCUUCCAAGAAAAGCUUCUAAGCUUCAGGUAACCAGGAACCGUACCCCAAACCGACACAGGUGGUCGGGUAGAGAAUACCAAGGCGCUUGAGAGAACUCGGGUGAAGGAACUAGGCAAAAUGGCACCGUAACUUCGGGAGAAGGUGCGCCGGCUAGGGUGAAGGAUUUACUCCGUAAGCUCUGGCUGGUCGAAGAUACCAGGCCGCUGCGACUGUUUAUUAAAAACACAGCACUCUGCAAACACGAAAGUGGACGUAUAGGGUGUGACGCCUGCCCGGUGCCGGAAGGUUAAUUGAUGGGGUUAGCGCAAGCGAAGCUCUUGAUCGAAGCCCCGGUAAACGGCGGCCGUAACUAUAACGGUCCUAAGGUAGCGAAAUUCCUUGUCGGGUAAGUUCCGACCUGCACGAAUGGCGUAACGAUGGCGGCGCUGUCUCCACCCGAGACUCAGUGAAAUUGAAAUCGCUGUGAAGAUGCAGUGUAUCCGCGGCUAGACGGAUAGACCCCGUGAACCUUUACUGUAGCUUUGCACUGGACUUUGAGCCUGCUUGUGUAGGAUAGGUGGGAGGCUUUGAAGCGUGGACGCCAGUUCGCGUGGAGCCAUCCUUGAAAUACC
rnacentral:rRNA from 1 species